rnacentral:rRNA from 1 species
UACGGGGGGGGCAAGCGUUGUUCGGAAUUACUGGGCGUAAAGGGCGCGUAGGUGGUUUGCUAAGUUGGAUGUGAAAACUCUGGGCUUAACCCAGAGCCUGCAUCCAAAACUGGCAAACUUGAGUACUGGAGGGGAAAGCGGAAUUCCUGGUGUAGCGGUGAAAUGCGUAGAUAUCAGGAGGAACACCGGUGGCGAAGGCGGCUUUCUGGACAGUAACUGACACUGAGGCGCGAAAGCUAGGGGAGCAAACAGG